rnacentral:piRNA from 1 species
UUUCGUGGCGUUUCUCUCUUC